AAAUUGAAGAGUUUGAUCAUGGCUCAGAUUGAACGCUGGCGGCAGGCCUAACACAUGCAAGUCGAACGGUAACAGAAAGCAGCUUGCUGCUUUGCUGACGAGUGGCGGACGGGUGAGUAAUGUCUGGGAAACUGCCUGAUGGAGGGGGAUAACUACUGGAAACGGUAGCUAAUACCGCAUAACGUCGCAAGACCAAAGAGGGGGACCUUCGGGCCUCUUGCCAUCGGAUGUGCCCAGAUGGGAUUAGCUUGUUGGUGGGGUAACGGCUCACCAAGGCGACGAUCCCUAGCUGGUCUGAGAGGAUGACCAGCCACACUGGAACUGAGACACGGUCCAGACUCCUACGGGAGGCAGCAGUGGGGAAUAUUGCACAAUGGGCGCAAGCCUGAUGCAGCCAUGCCGCGUGUAUGAAGAAGGCCUUCGGGUUGUAAAGUACUUUCAGCGGGGAGGAAGGGAGUAAAGUUAAUACCUUUGCUCAUUGACGUUACCCGCAGAAGAAGCACCGGCUAACUCCGUGCCAGCAGCCGCGGUAAUACGGAGGGUGCAAGCGUUAAUCGGAAUUACUGGGCGUAAAGCGCACGCAGGCGGUUUGUUAAGUCAGAUGUGAAAUCCCCGGGCUCAACCUGGGAACUGCAUCUGAUACUGGCAAGCUUGAGUCUCGUAGAGGGGGUAGAAUUCCAGGUGUAGCGGUGAAAUGCGUAGAGAUCUGGAGGAAUACCGGUGGCGAAGGCGGCCCCCUGGACGAAGACUGACGCUCAGGUGCGAAAGCGUGGGGAGCAAACAGGAUUAGAUACCCUGGUAGUCCACGCCGUAAACGAUGUCGACUUGGAGGUUGUGCCCUUGAGGCGUGGCUUCCGGAGCUAACGCGUUAAGUCGACCGCCUGGGGAGUACGGCCGCAAGGUUAAAACUCAAAUGAAUUGACGGGGGCCCGCACAAGCGGUGGAGCAUGUGGUUUAAUUCGAUGCAACGCGAAGAACCUUACCUGGUCUUGACAUCCACGGAAGUUUUCAGAGAUGAGAAUGUGCCUUCGGGAACCGUGAGACAGGUGCUGCAUGGCUGUCGUCAGCUCGUGUUGUGAAAUGUUGGGUUAAGUCCCGCAACGAGCGCAACCCUUAUCCUUUGUUGCCAGCGGUCCGGCCGGGAACUCAAAGGAGACUGCCAGUGAUAAACUGGAGGAAGGUGGGGAUGACGUCAAGUCAUCAUGGCCCUUACGACCAGGGCUACACACGUGCUACAAUGGCGCAUACAAAGAGAAGCGACCUCGCGAGAGCAAGCGGACCUCAUAAAGUGCGUCGUAGUCCGGAUUGGAGUCUGCAACUCGACUCCAUGAAGUCGGAAUCGCUAGUAAUCGUGGAUCAGAAUGCCACGGUGAAUACGUUCCCGGGCCUUGUACACACCGCCCGUCACACCAUGGGAGUGGGUUGCAAAAGAAGUAGGUAGCUUAACCUUCGGGAGGGCGCUUACCACUUUGUGAUUCAUGACUGGGGUGAAGUCGUAACAAGGUAACCGUAGGGGAACCUGCGGUUGGAUCACCUCCUUACCUUAAAGAAGC
rnacentral:rRNA from 1 species